AGUGAACGCUGGCGGCGUGCUUAAUACAUGCAAGUCGAACGAUGAAGUCCUAGCUUGCUAGGAUGGAUUAGUGGCGCACGGGUGAGUAAUAUAUAGUUAAUCUGCCUUGCACUGAGGAACAACAGUUGGAAACGAUUGCUAAUACCUCAUACUCCAACUUUACAUAAGUUAAGUUGGGAAAGUCUUUUCGGUGCAAGAUGAGACUAUAUCGUAUCAGCUAGUUGGUAAGGUAAUGGCUUACCAAGGCUAUGACGCGUAACUGGUCUGAGAGGAUGAUCAGUCACAUUGGAACUGAGACACGGGCCAAACUCCUACGGGAGGCAGCAGUAAGGAAUAUUGUGCAAUGGGGGAAACACUGACGCAGCAACGCCGCGUGGAGGAUGACACUUUUCGGAGCGUAAACUCCUUUUGUUAGGGAAGAAUAAUGACGGUACCUAACGAAUAAGCACCGGCUAACUCCGUG
rnacentral:rRNA from 1 species